ACGGGUGAGUAACACGUGUCCAACCUGCCGUCUACUCUUGGACAGCCUUCUGAAAGGAAGAUUAAUACAAGAUGGCAUCAUGAGUCCGCAUGUUCACAUGAUUAAAGGUAUUCCGGUAGACGAUGGGGAUGCGUUCCAUUAGAUAGUAGGCGGGGUAACGGCCCACCUAGUCUUCGAUGGAUAGGGGUUCUGAGAGGAAGGUCCCCCACAUUGGAACUGAGACACGGUCCAA
rnacentral:rRNA from 1 species